CCUCUGCACCAGACCACCACGGCCGCAAGGCCGAGGAAAGUCCGGGCACCCACGGGCCACCGGCCGGAGAAGAUCCGGGCUGGCUGCUCCAGCCAGACCAACAGGGCCACAGAAAAGAACCGCCCCUAGCAAUAGGGGUAAGGGUGAAAAGGUGGGGUAAGAGCCCACCGCUGCUUCCAGCAAUGGAACAGGCGUGAGUGUGUUCCGAUAUUCGCUGGACUGAGGCGAUUUUCGGGGUUUGCGAUGACCGAGCAGCGCCGCGUACUCAAUGUACGUAAGCCGCGCAGGGCAAGCAAAACCUGAAAAGCGACCAGCUCCAGUAGAAUAUCGGAGCACACUCGAAGGUAACCUGCCGGAGGGUGCAAUGCCGAAUAGGGACUCCCAGUGACGCGGUCCGCGUCCGAUGCCGCAAGGCGGAGGAGAGUCCGGGUUGGCAGCUCGAUGGCUUGCGCAAGCAACGCUACAGAUGAAUGGUGGUCACUCCGCAAGGGGUACAAAACCCGGCUUAUCGGUGCACAGGAGAA
rnacentral:RNase_P_RNA from 1 species